GUAGGGAAGGGAUAAGCGCUGAAAGCAUCUAAGUGCGAAGCCCCCCUCAAGAUGAGAUUUCCCAUGAUUUUAUAUCAGUAAGAGCCCUGAGAGAUGAUCAGGUAGAUAGGUUAGGAGUGUAAGUGUAGCGAUACAUGUAGCGGACUAAUACUAAUAGCUCGAGGACUUAUCCAAAA
rnacentral:rRNA from 1 species